GGCGGUCGCGUGGUUACAUUCAGAGCGGUGAUUGGAGCAGGGGUGGUGUCAAUCAGGGAGCUGUUGUUGUUGUUGUCCAUUGCCAGUCUAUUGACGGCACGACGAGAAGCCCGUGUGCAGCACGCGUGCUCUCUCUUAGGUGACCAAUCAGCAGCGGGAAACGUUCGGGCUGGGGCGGGUACCAGGACAGGAGCUACCAAUCAGAGCAGUGAGGGCUGGCAUAGCGCCAGGGCGGAGGACAAAGCUGAAAAUGCGUCAGGUCUCACUUCAGAUGGUGGUUUGGUCCAGUGAAUCUUUUCUAAACUCUCUGUGGAUCUGUACUAUCCACAAUAUUCCAGGUAUAGAGUCUAUAUAGAUAAUGUUAAAUUUGGCGUGUUGCUGGUGACAUAAGGGCCUAUUCCUCGUUGUAUCUCUGAAAACAAUUAUGAUCACUUAUAUACAUCACAAACAGCAGAGGUCUGGGUCCAGAUCCCUGCAGAACACCAUGAAUGACAGACCUCCAGCGAGUGGUCCUCUAUCCUCUGUCUCCUAUGGCUCUGGACCCCCACCAUCCUCUCCCCAUUUCGCCGUUUAAAGCUUCCAUUAAUCGCUGAGUAAAGUGUUGAGGAAGGUUGAGACUGAGGCGAAUGCAAAAAGACGAGCAAGAGUUCAGCGCCAACUGCCUUCCUUUUGAUUGCUGCCAGAGAAGGUAUCUGUGAGCGGCCCAUCACCGUGUGGCUCGUUGUGGCAGGAGGGUAGGCCUCUCUCUGCCUCGUGUGAUGACCCUGUCUUUCAAUGAAUGUUGGAGAUAUUGUCAGAUGGUAUCGUGGUUUUGCGUUUCUAGAUUGGACUAUUGCGUCUACAGACUGGAUUUUUUCAAACUUAUAAUUUCUAUGUUCUGUGUUUUUUUAAUCGCCUGUUCCUUUUCCUUUUUGUUGUGCAAGGGGAGGGUGUUUGUGGGUGUUCAGUUUUUUUGUGUGGGUGUGUUUCUUUAGGGGUUGAUGUUACUAUUCAGUUUUGUGGGGGGAGGGGAGUUUUUUUUGUGAGGGGCUUAAUGAUCAGAAUGCCAUUCUUUUUUUGUGCAGGGGUGGUGGGUUCAAUUUUUUUCUGUCUGAAUGACUUUCAUGCUCUUUC